rnacentral:lncRNA from 1 species
AGAAAUUGGAAGAUUGGGAAAUCUUCGACACCCAAAUCUUGUUGCUUUCCAAGGUUACUAUUGGUCCUCCAGUAUGCAGUUAAUUUUAUCUGAAUUUGUUCCAAAUGGAAAUCUGUAUGAUAAUUUACAUGGGCUUAGUUAUCCUGGAACCAGCACCGGUGCUGGUAAUCCUGAAUUAAACUGGUCAAGGAGGUUUCAGAUAGCCUUGGGUACUGCCAGAGCCCUAGCCUACCUUCAUCAUGACUGCAGACCUCCUGUUCUUCAUCUCAAUGUCAAGUCCACUAACAUUCUCCUUGACGACAACUAUGAAGCUAAAUUGUCCGACUAUGGUUUGGGGAAGUUACUUCCUCUGCUGGACAAUUUUGGGCUAACCAAUUUUCACAAUGCAGUUGGUUAUGUUGCACCUGAGUUAGCUCAAAGUCUCAGACUAAGUGAUAAAUGUGAUGUUUACAGUUUUGGCGUAAUUAUGUUAGAAUUAGUUACUGGAAAGAAACCUGUGGAAAGCCCGGCAGCAACUGAGGUGGUGAUUUUGUGUGAAUAUGUUAGGGAUUUGAUAGAAAGGGGUACUGCUUCAGACUGUUUCGAUAGAAGUUUGCGUGGUUUUGCAGAAAACGAGCUGAUUCAGGUUAUGAGAUUGGGAUUAAUUUGUACUUCUGAAGUGCCUACCAGGAGGCCAAGCAUGGCUGAGGUAGUUCAGUUUCUUGAGUCCAUCAGAAAUGGUUUAGGCUUAUAGCAAGUCAACAGAAAGAACUGUUGGACAACCAUGGCAUUCAGAGUACAUGUGGGGUGAUUAGGAGUUUAACUUUUUCAGUAUAAAGAUACAAAAGAUUCUUUUGUAUUCAUUUUGUGAUUCAUCAUCAUCAAUUGUUCCCUGUAAUUCUGCAAUAAAUUCAUUCGUUUUUUUAUCAUCUCUCGAUGCAAUCAGAGAAGAGUUUGUAGCAACUCAUUCUCUUCCAUCUGCUUUUAACUCAGCAUUUCUAUACUGGUACAUAAACUGCUUUCCUAGACUCCUAAUAUCAAUACUAACAUCUUCUUAAGCCGAGGGUUACCAGCUUCUUCACUGGGAUAUAUGUUUUUAUCUCAUUGCCCUGUGGAUUUAGUUCCAAGAAUACGUAGGCAAGGAAGAUGCUAUUUGCUGCAAAAUGCUCCGUUUCUGCAUCAAGCUUGAAGAUGUCAAUUUAUAGUGAAGAAAUGAAAGCGCUUGGUUGUUUUUAUCAUAUUUGGUCAUCCCGUGGACACCAGAAUUUCCACUACUUUGAGUGAGAAGGAGAUAGUAAUUAAUCACUUUAACUCAAUUGUUGCACAAAAUUGAUUGCAGAGGAAAGAGAGUGACAUAACCAAUUCUCUGUCCUAGACAAAUGUAAGAGUUCUUCUAAACUUAUUAUUACUACCAGAAAAAGGUCGUGACUUGCUUUUUGCAUCAGCAUUAAAUGACCUAUUUACAAUUUCAGAUAUUUAAGGCAAAUAAACUCUUCGAUUUUGCAAUAGCAGAAUGAAGAAACCUACUAAGACACAUCAAGGCCUUGUAGACACUCAGCUCAUGAGUACAUGAUACUGUUCAGGCGUGCCAGAAAUGUUUUGACUCCGAGUUCCUGCCAGAACUGUUCCUGUCAGCUCAUGAGUAUCUCCAUCUCUGAAAUGAACGGAAGACACUUCAUCUUUAAACAGCCAGAACUGCAGACAAAACCAGAUCAUCAAAUGCAGCACGGGUCUCCAAUUCUAAGUUCCUCCACCAAUUGUUCCCAAACAAUCUGAUAUCUUCAAAUCAUCCCUCAAUGAUUCCCCUCAUCUGGUCUGGUUCUGACGUAGCCUGAAACUCACAGAAUUCUACAAGAGGACAUCCUCCAAAGAAAUUGUAGGGUUUUGAUUCUUUAGCUGAAUGAGCAAAGCAAUAUCAACUCAACUACGAGAUUUACAGAUUUCAGAAACUUUCCUAAUACGAUCCAUGACUACAGGAAUAUCAUUUUCGCUCAGGGUGGUGAAGCAUAAUCUGAACCAACCAGGUUCAAUACAGUGACAGGAAGAUCCGGGAGUAACAUUAACCUUACCCACACUCAAAAGCUUAUCCCAAAGCUCAAGUUCUCCUUUUUCAUUAUAAGAUCUGAUUAGCCCACUCAUGUCCAUCCAACAGUAGAAACCUCCAUUACUCUUCAUGCACUCAAUUCCCAACUGCUUUAGUCCGGUAACAAAUGCAUUGUACAUCCUUUCAAGUCUUUCCCGAUUAUUCUUCAUAAACAAGUGGAUGAAUUUUGUGUCUGCCAGCAUUGAGAUAAGCAAACGCUGGCUUGGAGCUGAAAUGGAUGAAAAUCUUGCCAACUUUUUAGCAGCAGCCAAAACAUUCUCAUUAAAAGUAUAAAUAACUCCAACCCUAAAGCCUGGAAGAGAGAGAUCCUUCGAAAGACCAUACACUAUAUGGACUCUUGUCCGAUCAAAAUCUUCAGAAUCAAUUAUCUCUGCCAAACUGACAAAAUCUUCACUUCCAUGAGUGGAUCCUGCCAAUAUUUCAUUGGAAAUGAGGUGAAUAUUCUUCUCUGUUGCAAAGUCCAAAAGACUAUAAAGUGUCUCUCGAUUGAACAAAUUGCCCACAGGAUUUGAAGGGUUCGAAAUUAUGAUCCCACGAACUUUAAGCCCCCGUUUCCUUGCUUGGUUAAAGGUUCGAUCAAGAGCAGUAGUACUCAGACAGAAAUUGUCAGCACUGCGGCAAGGUAUGGGUAUAAUUUCGACACCUGUUCGCCAUUUUACAUCCCUGUCAAGACUGGACCAUAACUUAUGACAUCAGUGCCUGGACAAAAGAAGCUGAUGACCAGAGAUAAAUAUUCUGUGAACAGUCAAUUAAUCUUACUCGGGAUAAUAUGGUGAUGGAACAAGAAAUGCAUUUCCAGGAUCAGCUAAGCAGAAACUGAGAAUUUCAAUUGCAGGGGUUGCACCAGCUGUCAAAACAAUUUGUGAAGGGUUGAAGGAUACUGAUUUGUCCAUUACUUGAGACAUGAAUCCAGCUACUGCCUAUAAGACUAGUGAAAUCAGCAUAUACAGCAACAAGAUAAAAAGCAAGUCCAAGCACCGUACACAUGAUUGCAAGUCAGCUAAUUGAAGAGACAAAUUGGAUAUCCUAAUAGCUGGAAGCUAUAAGAGCUACGCCUAGAGCCAAAAGUAAGCUAUAAGAGCUACGCCUAGAGCCAAAAAGUCAAACUUUAUCCGAGUCCAUGUUAAUAGUAACCUGUGGACUUAUUGCCCGAAUAAUUACGUUUAAGACUCCAAAAGUGGCAGGGGGAGAGAAAGUGCUACUACAAGAAGCAGAAACAUAUUCAAAACUAUCAUCUUUUAACUAAAGUGAGUUAGCAACUAGUGUUCAUUAAGCACAUCUGUCAAUAUCAUAAUUAUGCAGACACAGUACUUUGGUUAGGACACUCAGUAAUGUCAAAGCCAUUAUUUACAAGUGACAAGUCACAUACAACAAAUUGUAGUGACCAAACUUGUAAUUCAUUGUUUGAAAACCACAAUUGAUGGGACCAUUCCAAAAGAAUUUGGGAGUAUUGAAUGGCUCCAAGCUCUGGAUCUGCAUAAUCUGGGCAUCAGUGGUGAGAUACCAGAUGAGAUAACCAACUGCAGAUUUCUUCGUGAGCUGUGAGUCCAAUUUUUCUAUCCAAUUCUCUGUCUAAAUUAUCCAUAUUGCUUUCACUCUGUGUUUGAAUGGACUUUGUAAUGUUGCUGCAGGGAUGUUUCUGGAAACUCGUUACGGGGCAGCAUACCGCAAAACCUCUACAACAUGUCAUACCUUGUAAUUCUUGACCUACGUAGCAACCAGCUUAAUGGGAGCAUACCAUCCACACUUGGAAAUUUGUCUAACUUACAUUCUUUAGAUUUGUCACAAAAUAUUUUAUCAGGACAAAUCCCUUCUAGUCUGGGAAAUUUGAAAAAUUUGACUCACUUCAAUGUCUCUUAUAAUAACCUUUCUGGGGCUAUUCCUUUGGUACAAAGCAUCCAAGGAUUUGGAUCUUCAGCCUUUUCAAAUAAUCCAGGCCUCUGUGGUGCUCCAUUGGAGACAUCAUGUGCACCCAAUGGCACCAAAACUGAAACAGGAAAGCCAAAGUUGAGCCCUUCAGCCAUUGUUGCUAUUGUUGCAGCUGCUGUGAUCCUCACAGGUGUCUGUGUGAUAACAGUGAUGAACAUCAAGACUCGCAGGGGGAGACGAGAAGAUGAAGCAGUGGUUGUAGUAGAAAGCACUCCACUGGCAUCAACAGAUUCAAAUGUCAUAAUCGGAAAGUUGGUUCUGUUCAGCAAGGCUUUGCCCUCAAAGUAUGAAGAUUGGGAGGCUGGUACUAAAGCAUUGCUGGAUAAGGAGUGUCUAAUUGGUGGGGGUUCCAUUGGAACAGUGUACAAAACUACUUUUGAGGGUGAGAUCUCUAUUGCUGUGAAGAAGCUUGAGACCUUGGGAAGAAUCAGAAACCAAGAUGAGUUUGAGCAAGAAAUUGGAAGAUUGGGAAAUCUUCGACACCCAAAUCUUGUUGCUUUCCAAGGUUACUAUUGGUCCUCCAGUAUGCAGUUAAUUUUAUCUGAAUUUGUUCCAAAUGGAAAUCUGUAUGAUAAUUUACAUGGGCUUAGUUAUCCUGGAACCAGCACCGGUGCUGGUAAUCCUGAAUUAAACUGGUCAAGGAGGUUUCAGAUAGCCUUGGGUACUGCCAGAGCCCUAGCCUACCUUCAUCAUGACUGCAGACCUCCUGUUCUUCAUCUCAAUGUCAAGUCCACUAACAUUCUCCUUGACGACAACUAUGAAGCUAAAUUGUCCGACUAUGGUUUGGGGAAGUUACUUCCUCUGCUGGACAAUUUUGGGCUAACCAAUUUUCACAAUGCAGUUGGUUAUGUUGCACCUGAGUUAGCUCAAAGUCUCAGACUAAGUGAUAAAUGUGAUGUUUACAGUUUUGGCGUAAUUAUGUUAGAAUUAGUUACUGGAAAGAAACCUGUGGAAAGCCCGGCAGCAACUGAGGUGGUGAUUUUGUGUGAAUAUGUUAGGGAUUUGAUAGAAAGGGGUACUGCUUCAGACUGUUUCGAUAGAAGUUUGCGUGGUUUUGCAGAAAACGAGCUGAUUCAGGUUAUGAGAUUGGGAUUAAUUUGUACUUCUGAAGUGCCUACCAGGAGGCCAAGCAUGGCUGAGGUAGUUCAGUUUCUUGAGUCCAUCAGAAAUGGUUUAGGCUUAUAG